UACGUAGGGGGCAAGCGUUAUCCGGAUUUACUGGGUGUAAAGGGAGCGUAGACGGCAGGGCAAGUCCGAUGUGAAAGCCCGGGGCUCAACCCCGGGACUGCAUUGGAAACUGUCCGGCUUGAGUGCAGGAGAGGCAGGCGGAAUUCCUAGUGUAGCGGUGAAAUGCGUAGAUAUUAGGAGGAACACCAGUGGCGAAGGCGGCCUGCUGGACUGUAACUGACGUUGAGGCUCGAAAGCGUGGGGAGCAAACAGG
rnacentral:rRNA from 1 species